GCCGGCGGUGGCAGCAGCGAGGGGGUGAUGAACCGACCCGUGUUAUCCCGGCCACGGACCGGCUGCCGGGGAGCGGCCGCCUUCGUUGUGCUUUAUCUCUCUGGCCUGGCACCAACAGCAUGGAGUUGAGUCCUUGAGAAUACCCACCAUGCCUGAGCGUGCCAUUCCUCUCAGCAGGCACCAGCACAGUUGGCUUGCAGGGAAGGUACCUGUUGCUCCAUCUGAUGCUGUCAAGUUUCUUCCAAACCCACCUUCACAACUCAGAUAAAGGAGAUGCAGAGACAGUGCAUGCUUUCCAGAGGAGACCUUGCUCUUGGUGCCAAGGAAUUUUCCUCCCUUCUGCACUUAUUUUAGCACAGCAGAGCUGCAAAGAUUUUAAGUGAUAAAUAAGAUGUGACAUAGCAAGAAUGACGAGACAGACAUCCAGUAAUGGCAGACAAAACCUCUGUUACAGGAAAUCACUUCCAUAUCAUACUUUCAAGAUCUGAGAGAUGUGUGCAUGCUUGCUAUCUUAGCAGAUCUGGUUUUGUUGUGCAACUUUAUCAGUAUUAUUAAUACUUAUUUGUGCUGGUGCAAUUUUUAGAGCAAAGCAUCCGGUGUGCUAUCAUGUUAGCAGCUUUGCAGUGUGCCGGUGGGCAUCCCUUUGAGAUUUAGCAGCUGAAUCCACUUGCCAUUCUUCAGGAUUUCCAGAAUUUCAGACACAUUCUGCUUCCCUUACAAUUGCUUUACUCACGGAAGGAAAAUUAAGCAGUAUCAGAACAGAACAAAAUCUGUUGGCUUUUCUUGGUAUCUUAAGACAAUCAGUGAUCAAAAGUUAAGAUGCAGAUUUAAGGGGAAUGGCAUGUCAGGAGAUGUCCACAACCAUGAAAUGUUGCCAUACAAAGCUACUGCAAAGUCAGAGGGUUAUGUAUGUGUUUUCCCCUCUGUUCUAUGAAGCUGUGCUCUCCCCUAAUGAAAAGAAGAUUGGGAAGCAAGGAGAGGGAAAGAAGUACAUUCCCCAAUAUGUGACUGCCCAACCUUCAUUUAAAUGAGUUGAUCUUGAGCUUCCAUUUAACAGAAAAAAUGGGAACAAAUCAGAAACCCCAACUGUUGCCAAAUCUGAACUUUUCUGUGUAGGUGAAUUAUCAAAAUAAAAUUGGAUGAAGUAGAUCAUAAAUGUGUUUUGACCUGCAGUUCCUCUUGUUUGCUUUACAUCAGAUAACUAUCACUUGUGAUCACUAGGUGAUAAACGAACAUCUUUGUUUAAACAAGUAAGCCUGGGAGCACCAACCAUGUCCCAUAAAUGCUGCUGUGAGAUGAAAUAUGGAGGGAAAAAUGGAUAAAUUGGGUAGUGCUGACUGAAACUGUGUGAUGUUCCCCUCUGCUGUAUUGGAGAUUUGAAGAAAACAGAUAAACUUGCAGACAAAAUCAAGUGAAUCUCCGAAGCUGCCACAUGACAUGAAAGCAUUUGUGACACGUGGAACUGCCCUUGUUUCAGCCUCCUCAGUUAGUGUCAUACGUGUCCUUUGCAAGUACAGGGUCUGCUCGGUUAGAUGAAUAUGCCAGAUUUGUGUUGCUCAAGAAGAAGCAGAAGCUUAAUGUCUUGAAGGUUCAGCUCAGCAGCGUGGCCAGGCAGUCUGCCCGUUAGGAUUGCAAGCCUCUUUCAUGCAUGGCCAGUUGCAAAGCUCUGUGCAGCAGGACUCGGCAAUGAAAAAUGUCAUCCACAAUUAUGCAUAUUUUCGUCAUCUUCUAUCAUGUAAAUCCCCUGCCCCAAGUGUGCAGCAAAUGUUUUGUUUGCAUAUGUAGGUCAACCACAAAUCUUCGGUGGUCUAACACAAGCACUGGAAGCAUAGGUUGAUGUAUACAGAUUUAAACCUGGUCUGAAGCAUAACCUAACCACAGACGUUUUCCAAGUGGAGUCUGUUUACUCGAUCUGUUUUCUUCUGACUUUUCAUUUUAUAAAGCAUUGCUUGCUUAAUGAUUUGUGAAAGCACAACUGACAGAAGAUACUCGCCAUCAUUGCAAAAGGAACUAUUAACUUCAGACACAGAUGGAUAGUUCUCAAUGAGUAGCUGUUAUAGUAAUAGCUUGAGAAAUGUGUUGUUUUUCAAAAUGGUACAUUGAAGUAUUUCUGCAAAUAGUUUUUCUUUUGCCACUGGCAGGAGGCCAGUUUUAUAUGAUUUUUAAAAAGAUUGUAUGUUCUUUUUGCAGAUUACACGCUGCUUAGUUUUCUUGUCUCGGCUAUCUUUAAAGAAAAAUACAGAAAAUACAUUUAUUGACCUUACGAUGCUAGAUAAAAGCUAGAAAUUCUGACUCGGUAACCAAAAAGCUUACUAGAAGCAGGCACAUUUAUUAUUUAAGAAAAACAUUACCUAUUAAACUCCUAAGCUUGAUGAGUUCCCAAGUCUAACUUGCGAAGUCUGUACACCACAAGUUGGCAGUGCAGUUCACCUUCAGUACGAGUUACGUGGGUCAGCUUGUUUCACCCUGAUGUGAAACUCAAAGUGCUCAGUUUAAUUGUCUGGGAAUGUGUAAUUCUUAGAAUGAGGUUUUCAGUGAGAAUAUUCCUCCAAAUACAUGUGGAGUGUCUGCUAGCAUGGUUCAGGGAAACAGGCUGAUGCCUGGACUGAUGCUCCAGUGUGUUACCCAUUGGUGCUCUGCAUCUGUAGAGUUGCUUUAUUGCCAAACUCACCCUUGGAUCUGACAACAACUAUGCACAUCAUGGCAAGGUGUGUAUUUACACACACAAAUGUCAGGUUAACCAUGUCCUGGUGUAAUGACCCAGUAAGUUUUGAUUUAGGGUAAGUAAGAGUGAAGUUGUUGCCCUAAGAGAUGAGUAGAAUACAGUAUCCUUCCCCAUUCCCAUAAAAUCAGACUAGCACCUCUGUUAUAUUUGAUAUCCUGAAUUUAACUCAUGGAAGUACAGGGACACUACAUUAGGAGUCAGAUCAGGGCUCUUACAAAGCCAAAAUACUGUGAGGUUGGAAUUGAAGUAUCUUGUGAAGGUAUGUGAUACUGUGCCAAUAAAUGUACACGUAUACCAAUACUCUUGUCAGAUUUCCUUCUGGGUAGGAGAGCACACCUUGUUCUGUCCUGCCUACAAACACCAUCAGCACUGUGGUGCUGAAAGAUGAUUCAGAAAAAAACAAACAUUGCUAUUUUCCCCAGCAUAGUCUUAACAGAUGCACAGUUCUAGAUAGAACACACAUUUGUGGUCAUUUAUUAUCACAAGAUAACAAUUUGUUCUCAUUAACAACUCCCUCUGAGCAAGGCUCUCAGGAAAUAGGCUCGUGUUUAAGAGCACACAGUAACUUUACAUUUCCCUUCUCCUCACAGGGGACAGCUGAUCUGAAGUUUCUUAUUUCUCUCCUGCUGCUAGAUCCAGCUUGCAGCAUUCAGCAGGAUACACUUGCCUUCUGCAAUUACCCUGCUACCUUAUUACUACUCAACCUAUAUUUUACUCCCCUACCUUGCAGUACCUGAAUACCACAUACAGUCUGACUUCCUGCUGCACACUACAGACCAUCUCUAUUUAUCUCAACAUGAAAUGAAGGUUUUAUCCAUACAGUACAGUGCAAACCAUGUAUGUGAUGUAUUGCAGAUUCUCUGGUAGAGAAACAACUAGUACCUUAUUAACCUGUAAGAAAUGUGGCUAUAUCAUAAUUAAAUAUAAAAGUGUU